GUGCUCGCUUAGGCAGCACAUAUACUAAAAUUGGAACGAUACAGAGAAGAUUAACAUGGCCCCUGCGUAAUGGA
ensembl:snRNA Gm25563 predicted gene, 25563